UACGUAGGGUGCGAGCGUUAAUCGGAAUUACUGGGCGUAAAGGGCUCGUAGGCGGCCAACUAAGUCAGACGUGAAAUCCCUCGGCUUAACCGGGGAACUGCGUCUGAUACUGGAUGGCUGGAGGUUGGGAGAGGGAUGCGGAAUUCCAGGUGUAGCGGUGAAAUGCGUAGAUAUCUGGAGGAACACCGGUGGCGAAGGCGGCAUCCUGGACCGACACUGACACUGAGGAGCGAAAGCCAGGGGAGCAAACGGG
rnacentral:rRNA from 1 species